AGGAACCCCUAGUGAUACCUUUCUUAUUUUCCUUCCUCCUUCUCUCCAUUUUAAUGAUCUCAUUGUAUUGUUUGUGUUUAUUUGCAUGUCUGUUUUCCUAAAUAAAUAUGGAAUUCUCGAGGAUGUAUGAAUAAUGUUACUUGGGAUAUUAGAUCGAAAGAUGGUACAUAUUAGGUUCUGAAGAAAUUACCCGAAUGAAGGAAUAAAUGUAAACUACUAUGUUAAUUAGAUCAUUAUCUUUACAUUCAACAAAUACCACAUGAAAAGCAGUAGGAAUCUGUGGUAUUGCUUCUUCCAUUCUUAUUCUUUCCCACUGCGCCCCCAACCCCAUCUCAGCCAAGGCAUAAAUUUUAUUAGGGUGUGGAAGGCCGUGAGAACUGGAAGCUGUUCUGCCACUAUCAAAGGGGGCUCACCUGAUUUGGAAAAGUGAGCACUGGCAACACCCAUGCCCAACCGUGUUGUCAGUGGAAGUGAUCAUCUUGGACACAAGGUGAGUAAGAAAAUCUAACAGCUUUACUAACUAGAGGCUGCAGUCAUGGUUGGGAUAAACAUAACUCUGGAAUGGAGGCCCAAGCUAGCUACACACUUCUGGCAAACCCUGAGGCUGCACACAUGGUAACAUACUUCUCAGAAGCAGAUUUUGAUAAGAUGUGAAAGGGCCCAGAAGAAAGUAAAGUCUGCACAGCCUGCACUUUGAAGAAAAAGGAAUCCACAUCUAGAUAUAUCAUAAGCCAAUCACUGAAAACAAAAUACAAAGAGAAAAUCUUAAAAGCAACAAGAGAAAGAAAAAAACUCAUAACAUAUAGGUGAGCAUCAAUAUAAUUAAGGCUGACUUCAUAAUAAACAAUGAAGGCUAGAAUUACAUAUUCAAAGCGAUAAAAGAAAAAAAUUAGCCAACAGAAGAAGACACAUAGACAUUGCACUCAGCCCAAUUCUCGCAUGGCUUCCUUAAAAAGUUUUCCUUUUAAAACCCCUGCCUCUCCCACAAAAAAUCAAAGUGAUUAAUUUGGAUAAGAAUCUGGCUACUUCCCGUUUACUAGUUUUGGUUAAUAGUCACUUUCUUUCUACCAGAUGUUGCUCUUGUUAAUUGCACUCUGCAAGUGGUAAGCAUCUGGACCUGCAUUUCAUUACAAAACUACCAAAACAGAAUUCUAUAUCCAGUGAAACUAUCCUUCAAAAAUGAAGGCUAAAUAAGGAUGUUCCCAGAUUAAUAAAGACUGAGAGAAUUUGCUGUUAGCAAAUCUACCUUCUAAGAAAUACUAAAGGAAGACCUUCAAUGCUGAAAGGAAAUGACACCAGAUCCAGAACUACGGGAAGAAAUGUAGAGCAACGGAAAAGGGCUGGGCCAUACAGUAUGUACUCAAGAUUUAGUAGUUAAUUGACUGAUUGAACUUUAUAGAGAAGUACAGAUACAAUAUUACGGAAAUUCAGAGGAGAGAAAUUACUAACAACUUGAGCAGGUGGAAAAGCAUUGAAGCUUGGUAGAGAAGAUGGUGGAACUGUGCAGCAUUGAGACAUGUCCAGUUGGAGAGAUAUGAAGCUGGGUGAAAGUAGUACAAGAGGAGGCAACUGAAUGUACAACGGCAAAGAGAAAGAAGAAUCAGUGGAUGUGCAGAGGAAAGAGUGUGCAGGGAGGUAUGACUCAUCAAGAGGGAGCUAAAGGAUACAAAGACAGCAAACGCAGGUUAAAUUUCCUGGUGUGGGGGUGGUGGGAAUGAUAGUGGCUUGAACUACCCUACUAUAAAGUUUGGAUUUCAUCCUGUGGGUAACAGAAUGACUGAAGGUUUUUGGAGAAGGAUAUGGUGUGAUCAGAGCUGUGCUUUAGAAAGAUUAAGCUGGUGUAGAAAAAGGUUGAGAGAAGGGAAGGGAAAGAAAAGACUAAUUAGGAGGUUGUUUAAUCGUCCAGGCAAGAGGUAACUUGGGCUAGAACCAGGGAAGAGGAAGUGGGGAAUGCAAAGUAGGGGCAGACCCAAGAGAAAUUUCAGGAGGAAGCAGAAAGGAGGAUUUGAUAAUCUCUUACAUCCCUCCUCUUCUCAGGCUAGGACACAGCUCAGUAUUCAAUGCUCUCUACAAUCUGCCCCAACUACUUUGUCCAGAUUUACCUUUCCCUAAGCAUGUCAUAUGCCUCAUUCUCCAAACUGCACUGGAUCACAUUCUUUUCUUCAAAGACAAUCUGUACUUUUCCACUUACUCUCCUUUUCUUCAAGGAUAAUCUAUCUGUACUUUUCCACUUACUCUCCUUAUCUCCAAAUAUACAAAUCUAACCUACCCUUAAAAGUCCACCUCAAGUGCCAUCUCUUCCAUCAAAUGUUCCUGACUCUCCUCCAGCCAUAAUUAACUUCUCGCUCCUCUGUUCAUCCACUUACGCUUUGUGGGACAUGGUAAAUACUUCAGCUUUUUCUCCAAGUUCAGUAGAAAUCCACUUAAGACUUUUAAGCAGCAGAGUAAUAUGAUUUGAUUUACAUUUUUAAACAACCAUUUCUAUUGCUCUUUGGGUAAACUAGGUAUAGGAAUGUUGAAUCAAGACCAGGUAGGAAGCUAUUGCCCUAGUUCAAGCAAGAGAUGAUGGUGACCUGACUAAGCAAAUGGCAAUAUAUAUGAAGAAAAGAGGGCU
rnacentral:lncRNA from 10 species